GACUACUGGGGUAUCUAAGCCUGUUCGCUCCCCACGCUUUCGUGCCUCAGCGUCAAUCCAGGUCUAGUCAGCUGCCUUCGCAAUUGGUGUUCUAUGGCAUAUCUAUGCAUUUCACCGCUACAUGCCACAUUCCGCUGACCUCAUCCUAAUUCCAGCUAUGCAGUAUCAAAAGCAAUUUUACGGUUGAGCCGCAAACUUUCACUCCUGACUUACAUAGCCGCCUACGCACCCUUUAAACCCAGUAAUUCCGGAUAACGCUCGCACCCUCCGUAUUACCGCGGCUGCUGGCACGGAGUUAGCCGGUGCUUAUUCUUCAGGUACCGUCAGCUGCGGAGUAAAUCCACAGGUUUCUUCCCUGAUAAAAGCAGUUUACAACCCAUAGGGCCUUCUUCCUGCACGCUGGAUGGCUGGAUCAGCCUUUCGGCCAUUGUCCAAUAUUCCUUACUGCAGCCGCCCGUAGG
rnacentral:rRNA from 1 species